GAGAAAAAAAAAAUCUUACAUGCUAAAUUUGAAAACAACCACUUUUGUGGUAGCAAUCUCCCAAUGGCCUGGUCCAUAGGUAGGCCUAUAAACAGUUCUGUAAUAAUUUUCUACUUGGAAUAACUUAAUAUCACAAUGCAUAACCCCAAACCAAGAAAAGAGUGGACCUAACUUGAGAGAAACAUAAAAACACUGCUCUGUCUAAUUGGGGUUGGUUUAAUUAGAGUUGGUUUGGAGACAUCAUACAUGUCAAGAGAUGACCAUUCUUUCAAAACUCUCAUAUCAUUCCUUAAAAAUCUGUCAAUAGAGCAGAAAACUCAAACCCAAAAUACUAUUCAUAUACUUUUCAUUUUCUUUUGGUUCAUUGGAUAAGCAAACAAAUGGGUGACAGCUCUUCACUUCUCCUAAAACUCCACACUCCAUCCACUGGAAUGCAAAACAAAAGUGUGCCCUCUUAAUAGGAAUCCCAACAUUUUCUGCUGGGAUGUUCCCUUAUAGACCUACUGGUGACAUUCUUAAAGGACAUAAAAAGACCUCAAGAAUAUUUUAUGAAUUUUCAGUUGGGUACACUGGAAAAGAAAUUGACUUAUCUAAUAGUUUCAUGCUACCGACGUCUUACCUAUGCAAGACACAUCAUGUUGGUGUACUUAACAGAGAAUUAAUCUCAUAGUAUGACUGUAACCACAAACCCCUAGAAAUAAACAGCCAAAAACAGAGCCAUUGUUUAGGUCAUAAUCAAUUGCACCCAUAAACAUCUGGAUUUAAAUUGGCCAGCUGGCCAACGCUUUUGCAGUUAGUGAAAAGCAUGCUCUUCCCCGUGAUAAAUAGAAAAUUGUUAAAACGUGAAUACAAAGAGAUAUUUAGUAAAUGCCAAAACAAUAUAUUCAUCAAAGAUCAAUCAACAGAAGACGCCACCAUCAUGUGAAACUAUGAGAUAGAGAGUUUUUUUUUUCUACAAUUACAUAAAAGUCUUCAAAUGCAAAAGGGUACAACGUAAUUUUCCAAGCAACAUUAUAUGUUGGUGAAAUUUACCUGAAUACCGGCACGAGAGGAAC
rnacentral:misc_RNA from 1 species